GGGUAUAGACCCGAAACCCGGUGAUCUAGCCAUGGGCAGGUUGAAGGUUGGGUAACACUAACUGGAGGACCGAACCGACUAAUGUUGAAAAAUUAGCGGAUGACUUGUGGCUGGGGGUGAAAGGCCAAUCAAACCGGGAGAUAGCUGGUUCUCCCCGAAAGCUAUUUAGGUAGCGCCUCGUGAAUUCAUCUCCGGGGGUAGAGCACUGUUUCGGCAAGGGGGUCAUCCCGACUUACCAACCCGAUGCAAACUGCGAAUACCGGAGAAUGUUAUCACGGGAGACACACGGCGGGUGCUAACGUCCGUCGUGAAGAGGGAAACAACCCAGACCGCCAGCUAAGGUCCCAAAGUCAUGGUUAAGUGGGAAACGAUGUGGGAAGGCCCAGACAGCCAGGAUGUUGGCUUAGAAGCAGCCAUCAUUUAAAGAAAGCGUAAUAGCUCACUGGUCGAGUCGGCCUGCGCGGAAGAUGUAACGGGGCUAAACCAUGCACCGAAGCUGCGGCAGCGACACUAUGUGUUGUUGGGUAGGGGAGCGUUCUGUAAGCCUGUGAAGGUGGCCUGUGAGGGUUGCUGGAGGUAUCAGAAGUGCGAAUGCUGACAUAAGUAACGAUAAAGCGGGUGAAAAGCCCGCUCGCCGGAAGACCAAGGGUUCCUGUCCAACGUUAAUCGGGGCAGGGUGAGUCGACCCCUAAGGCGAGGCCGAAAGGCGUAGUCGAUGGGAAACAGGUUAAUAUUCCUGUACUUGGUGUUACUGCGAAGGGGGGACGGAGAAGGCUAUGUUGGCCGGGCGACGGUUGUCCCGGUUUAAGCGUGUAGGCUGGUUUUCCAGGCAAAUCCGGAAAACCAAGGCUGAGGCGUGAUGACGAGGCACUACGGUGCUGAAGC
rnacentral:rRNA from 1 species